rnacentral:rRNA from 1 species
UAGGGAAUAUUGGGCAAUGGAGGGAACUCUGACCCAGCCAUGCCGCGUGCAGGAUGAAGGCGUUAUGCGUUGUAAACUGCUUUUUAUAUAGGAAGAAAUAGUCCUUGCGAGGAAAGUUGACGGUACUAUAUGAAUAAGCACCGGCUAACUCCGUGCCAGCAGCCGCGGUAAUACGGAGGGUGCAAGCGUUGUCCGGAUUUAUUGGGUUUAAAGGGUGCGUAGGCGGUUUAUUAAGUCAGUGGUGAAAGACGGUCGCUCAACGAUUGCAGUGCCAUUGAUACUGGUAGACUUGAGUAUGAUUGAGGUAGCUGGAAUGGAUAGUGUAGCGGUGAAAUGCAUAGAUAUUAUCCAGAACACCAAUUGCGUAGGCAAGUUACUAAGUCAUAACUGACGCUGAGGCACGAAAGUGUGGGUAUCAAGCAGGAUUAGAUACCCCCGUAGUCCCUGAG